CAGCUCUCUGAUGUCAGUGCUGCAGUCACACAAGGAUGAGUGAGCGAUUCCCAGGAGAUCCUGGUAAAGAGCUUGGUUGCAAAUAAAGUGGCAGCAAAGACAGAUGCGUCACCACAUCGGCUCAAUCAAUUCACAAGUUUUUGGCACAAGUUAUUGGCAGGUUUUAUGCCAGAUAUGAUUUCUGCUGUGACCAACCCUUUUGCAGGCUCGGGACUGGCACUGGGGAUGUCCUGCACAGCAAUGUGAAUGACUCAUUGCCAGUUUUCACACCACAUAAUUGCAGCUGUUGCUGCCAAAUCUGGUACAACCAGUUAUUAGGUUUAGGGUUAACUCUGGUUAUCUUUGUGUAAUAUAAAAAUUUGUUGGAUGAUUUGUAUGGCAAAGUGUGACAAAUAUAUAAAAAUUGUAUAAUUAAUAUAAACCAAAUGAAUAUUUGUGAAAAUAAAGACAAUAGAUAAUAUAUGUAACAAAACAUGUAUUACAAAAAGUCGGCUAAUAGCACAAUUAAACAAACAUAUUUUUGGUAAGGGCAUUGGGGAAACAAAAACUGUAGCAGCUGGUAAAUGAAUCAUCAGGAAAGUCACUGGGAAGAAGUCACAGAUUACAGUGCACCUGGGGCCAAUGUAUCCCAUAGUUAGUCAUGCCAAAUUGUUGCCUACUCUUUACGUCACUGUCUAGAAAUGUGUUCUA